AGUGAACGCUGGCGGUAUGCCUAACACAUGCAAGUCGAACGGCAGCACAGUAAGAGCUUGCUCUUACGGGUGGCGAGUGGCGGACGGGUGAGGAAUACAUCGGAAUCUACUUUUUCGUGGGGGAUAACGUAGGGACACUUACGCUACUACCGCAUACUACCUACGGGUGAAAUCAGGGGAUCUUCGGACCUUUCGCGAUUGAAUUAGCCGAUGUCGGAGUAGCUAGUUGGCGGGGUAAAGGCCCACCAAGGCGACGAUGCGUAGCCGACCUGAGAGGAUGAUCGGCCACACUGGAACUGAGACACGGUCCAGACUCCUACGGGAGGCAGCAGUAGGGAAUAUUCCGCAAUGGGCGAAAGCCUGACGGAGCAAUGCCGCGUGAGUGAUGAAGGUCUUCGGAUCGUAAAACUCUGUUAUUAGGGAAGAAAAGAUGUGUAAGUAACUGUGCACAUCUUGACGGUACCUAAUCAGAAAGCAACGGCUAACUACGUG
rnacentral:rRNA from 1 species